rnacentral:rRNA from 1 species
UUGAUCCCGCCGGAGGUUACUGCUAUCGAGGUUCGACUAAGCCAUGCGAGUCGAAUGUAGCAAUACAUGGCGUACUGCUCAGUAACACGUGGACAACCUACCCUUAGGAUGGGGAUAAACCCGGGAAACUGAGUAUAAUACCCGAUAGUCCUCGAACGCUGGAAUGCAUCGAGGACUAAAGCUCCGGCGCCUAAGGAUGGGUCUGCGGCCUAUCAGGUAGUAGUGGGUGUAGCGUACCUACUAGCCUACGACGGGUACGGGUUGUGAGAGCAAGAGCCCGGAGAUGGAUUCUGAGACACGAAUCCAGGCCCUACGGGGUGCAGCAGGCGCGAAAACUUUACAAUGCUGGAAACAGCGAUAAGGGGACCUCGAGUGCCAGGUUACAAAUCUGGCUGUCGUGAUGCCUAAAAAGCAUUGCAUAGCAAGGGCCGGGCAAGACCGGUGCCAGCCGCCGCGGUAACACCGGCGGCUCGAGUGGUAACCGUUAUUAUUGGGUCUAAAGGGUCUGUAGCCGGCCGGAUAAGUCUCUUGGGAAAUCUGGCAGCUUAACUGUCAGGCUUCCAGGAGAUACUGUCUGGCUCGAGGCCGGGAGAGGUGAGAGGUACUUCAGGGGUAGGGGUGAAAUCUUGUAAUCCUUGAAGGACCACCAGUGGCGAAGGCGUCUCACCAGAACGGACCUGACGGCAAGGGACGAAAGCUAGGGGCACGAACCGGAUUAGAUACCCGGGUAGUCCUAGCCGUAAACGAUACUCGCUAGGUGUCGGCCACGGUGCGACCGUUGUCGGUGCCGUAGGGAAGCCGUGAAGCGAGCCACCUGGGAAGUACGGCCGCAAGGCUGAAACUUAAAGGAAUUGGCGGGGGAGCACCACAACGGGUGGAGCUUGCGGUUUAAUUGGAUUCAACGCCGG